rnacentral:rRNA from 1 species
UACGUAGGGGCUAGCGUUGUCCGGAAUCAUUGGGCGUAAAGCGCGUGUAGGCGGCCCGAUAAGUCCGCUGUGAAAGUCCAGGGCUCAACCCCGGGAGGCGGAUGGAUACUGCUUGGCUCGAGUCCGGAAGAGGCGAGUGGAAUUCCCGGUGUAGCGGUGAAAUGCGCAGAUAUCGGGAGGAACACCAAUGGCGAAGGCAGCUCGCUGGGACGGUACUGACGCUGAGGCACGAAAGCGUGGGGAGCAAACAGG